rnacentral:rRNA from 1 species
CCCUUAGAUGUUCGGGGCCGCACGCGCGCUACACUGAUGGGGACAGCGUGUUUGCCAUUCCUGGUCCGGCAGGAUUGGGCAAUCCGUUGAACCCCCGUCGUGAUUGGGAUCGGAGCUUGUAACUAUUCUCCGUAAACGAGGAAUUCCCAGUAAGCGCAAGUCAUCAGCUUGCGUUGAUUACGUCCCUGCCCUUUGUACACACCGCCCGUCGCUCCUACCGAUUGAGUGGUCCGGUGAGGCUUUGGGAUCUGAGCGGAAAGAGCGUUUCGCUGUUUCUGCCCGGAAAACUCAGUCGAACCUUAUCAUUUAGAGGAAGGAGAAGUCGUAACA